AUUGAACGCUGGCGGUAUGCUUUACACAUGCAAGUCGAACGGCAGCACGGGAGCAAUCCUGGUGGCGAGUGGCGAACGGGUGAGUAAUAUAUCGGAACGUGUCCAGUAGUGGGGGAUAGCCCGGCGAAAGCCGGAUUAAUACCGCAUACGACCUACGGGUGAAAGCGGGGGAUCGCAAGACCUCGCGCUAUUGGAGCGGCCGAUAUCAGAUUAGGUAGUUGGUGGGGUAAAAGCCUACCAAGCCUGCGAUCUGUAGCUGGUCUGAGAGGACGACCAGCAACACGGGGACUGGGACACGGCCCAGACUCCUACGGGAGGCAGCUGUGGGGAAUUUUGGACAAUGGGGGCAACCCUGAUCCAGCCAUACCGCGUGCAGGAAGAAGGCCUUCGGGUUGUAAACUGCUUUUGUCAGAGAAGAAAUCUUUUGGGCUAAUACCUCGGAAGGAUGACGGUAGCUGAAGAGUAAGCACCGGCUAACUACGUGCCAGCCGCCGCCGUAACAC
rnacentral:rRNA from 1 species